rnacentral:rRNA from 1 species
CACCGCGGUUAAACGAGAGGCCCAAGUUGAUAGAACUCGGCGUAAAGAGUGGUUAAAAGAUAAAUAUACUAAGACUAAAGACUUUUAGUACUGUCAUACGUAUUCAAAAAUAAGAAGCCCAACUACGAAAGUGGUCUUAAACAAACUCUGAAUCCACGAAAGCUACGAAA